rnacentral:tRNA from 1 species
GCCUGGGUGGCUCAGCGGUUGGGCGCCUGCCUUCGGUUCAGGUCUGAUCCCACGAUGUGGGAUCAAGUCCCACAUCAGACU